CCCCCUCCUCCUGCACUGCUGACCGGCAGCCAUUUUAAUGACAACCUUUCCUGGUAGAGCAGGGAGAAGUCUCCCUACCAGCGGACAGAUGUGGUUCUAUCUCUGUGGAUGUUUGUGUAAUAUUUGCUGUUAAAAAUGAAGGAUAUUUUGUCAAAGGGAAAAAGACUGGUUGUGUGUUUUUUGUCUCCGGUGUUCAGUGUAUUUGCAGAUGAUAACGUUAAUAUAACAGUAUACAACAGGUUCAUGUUAAUUUCACUAAGCCUGGGUUCCAUCGAAGGGAAGAGUCCCUGUUUGAUUCCACCAUUGUGAUUCUACUGGUCUCUAGUGGUUUCUACUGGUCUCUAGUGGUUUCUACUGGUCUCUAGUGGUUUCUACUGGUCUCUAGUGGUUUCUACUGGUCUCUAUGGGUUUCUACUGGUCUCUAGUGGUUUCUACUGGUCUCUAGUGGUCUCUAGUGGUCUCUAUGGGUUUCUACUGGUCUCUAGUGGUCUCUGCUGGUCUCUACUGGUUUCUACUGGUCUCUAGUGGUCUCUAUGGGUUUCUACUGGUCUCUAGUGGUCUCUGCUGGUCUCUAGUGGUUUCUACUGGUUUCUACUGGUUGCUAGUGGUCUCUAGUGGUCUCUAGUGGUUUCUACUGGUCUCUAGUGGUCUCUACUGGUCUCUACUGGUCUCCAGUGGUCUCUGCUGGUCUCUAGUGGUCUCUACUGGUUUCUACUGGUUUCUACUGGACUCUAGUGGUCUCUACCGGUUUCUACUGUUUUCUAGUGGUUUUUACUGGUCUCUAGUGGUCUCUACUGGAUGUCCACCUGAACAUUUUUCUGACACUGCAGUGUUGCACUUUCUUAUCUACAAAGUAGAUUAUUAUACGUUUUGAUAAUCAAAUUAUUUCUAUAAUAAAAAAAUAAAAAAUAAAAACAUCUGAAUAUCUGUGUGUGCAUUGUAAAGCGUUUGUGGACGGCAAAGCGUUUGUAGACGGUAAAGUUGUGAAGUCUGUUGGCUGUUGCAAAGUAAUGUAUUUUCUGAGAUCAUUGUCUUCAAAGGGGUAUGUAAAAAAAAAAUAUAUAUAUAUAUAUUCACUGCGUUUCAUCUUCUUUCAGGAAAUGCCACUCGUGGCUUCCUGAAUUCUACAAAGCAGCACAUUGUGUGCAGGUCAUAGGUACUCUAGGUUUGAUUGUAAACACACCUGUUGUACCGCGGACAGUCACAAUCCUUUUCUGUUGCUCGUCCCAUCUUUACUGAACUCAAUUGUGGCUAAAUAGUUGUUGUACAGUUUUUAUAAUGCUUGUGUAAACUGUUCUCCAACUAUUGCCUUGCUAGUACAGUUUAUAAUGCUUGUGUAAACUGUUCUCCAACUAUUGCCUUGCUAGUACAGUUUAUAACAUAUAGCUGUCCUGCUCCAGUUAUGUGUAAGUAUACAGUCCCAUUAUUAUGAAGGAAAAUUAAUUGAGGGGCAUAUUGACUUCAUGUGUGUAUGAAUGGAUAUGAUUGAGUUGAUAUAUUAUUGUAAAGUGUUUUUCUGUUGGGAGGCGUACAGUAUACUGUAUUAUAAACUAUUAAUCUCUGGGAGGCGUACAGUAUACUGUAUUAUUAUAAACUAUUAAUGUCUGUUGGGAGGCGUACAGUAUACUGUAUUAUAAACUAUUAAUCUCUGUUGGGAGGCUUACUGUUAAUAUCUACACAGUCCUCAUGUUUUCUACAGUGAGGGGUACACCCCAAAUGGCUCCCUAUUCCCUAUAUAGUGAGCCCAUAGAGCGCUGGUUAGAAGUAGUUCACUCUACAGGGGAUAGGAGGCCAUUUUGAACAGACUCGUUGUUGUUGUCCUGUUGGUUUCCAUGGUUUCACUCUGUACCUCCUUUCUUAUUGCCGGAAACUAAACAGCCGUGGUGACGAUGUCUUGCUGUUGAUCGAUGUACCGUCCGUUAUUUUAUCAUCGUGUAUGUUUGUCCUCGGUCAACUUAAAGCUCAAUAAACUAUGUGAAUAAACUGAA